rnacentral:rRNA from 1 species
GUAGUCCACGCCCUAAACGAUGGAUACUAGACGUCGGAAUACCUAAUAGUUUCGGUGUCGUAGCUAACGCGUUAAGUAUCCCGCCUGGGAAGUACGGUCGCAAGAUUAAAACUCAAAGGAAUUGACGGGGGCCCGCACAAGCGGUGGAGCAUGUGGUUUAAUUCGACGCUACGCGAAAAACCUUACCUAGACUUGACAUCCCGCGCUACCCUUCGAAAGUUGGGGUUCCCUUCGGGGACGCGGUGACAGGUGCUGCAUGGCUGUCGUCAGCUCGUGUUGUGAGAUGUUGGGUUAAGUCCCGCAACGAGCGCAACCCCCGCCGUUAGUUACCAUCAUUUAGUUGGGCACUCUAACGGGACCGCUGGGCUAUAAGCCAGA